UCGGGAAUUUUGGGCAAUGGGCGAAAGCCUGACCCAGCAACGCCGCGUGUGGGAUGAAGGCCCUCGGGUCGUAAACCACUGUCAGGAGGAAAGAAAAGUCGGCCGGAUAAUACUCGGUCGACCUGACGGUACCUCCAAAGGAAGCACCGGCUAACUCCGUGCCAGCAGCCGCGGUAAGACGGAGGGCGCAAGCGUUGUUCGGAAUUACUGGGCGUAAAGCGCGGGCAGGCGGUCUGUUAAGUCGUUUGUGAAAAUCCGGGGCUCAACCCCGGAAAUGCAUACGAUACUGGCAGGCUGGAGACUGGUAGAGGCUAGCGGAAUUCCUGGUGUAGCGGUGGAAUGCGUAGAUAUCAGGAAGAACACCUGUGGCGAAGGCGGCUAGCUGGGCCAGUUCUGACGCUGAUCCGCGAAAGCGUGGGGAGCAAACAGGAUUAGAUACCCCGGUAGUCCCUGAGCGGGCUGGCAAGGCGCAU
rnacentral:rRNA from 1 species